rnacentral:rRNA from 1 species
CACCAGACUCCUACGGGAGGCAGCAGUGGGGGAUAUUGCACAAUGGGGGAAACCCUGAUGCAGCGACGCCGCGUGGGCGAAGAAGUAUUUCGGUAUGUAAAGCCCUAUCAGCAGGGAAGAAGAAAUGACGGUACCUGAGUAAGAAGCACCGGCUAAAUACGUGCCAGCAGCCGCGGUAAUACGUAUGGUGCAAGCGUUAUCCGGAUUUACUGGGUGUAAAGGGUGCGCAGGCGGCACGGCAAGCCGGCGGUCAAAUCGCGGGGCUCAACCCCGCCCAGCCGUCGGAACUGCCGGGCUAGAGUGGGCGAGAAGUGCGCGGAAUGCGUGGUGUAGCGGUGAAAUGCAUAGAUAUCACGCAGAACUCCGAUUGCGAAGGCAGCGCACCGGCGCCCUACUGACGCUCAGGCACGAAAGCGUGGGUAUCGAACAGGAUUAGAUACCCGAGUAU